AUGGACGCCACGGCCACCGGCGCCAAGGGGAAGAAGGGUGCGGCCGGGCGCAAGGCCGGCGGCCCCAGGAAGAAGUCGGUGACGCGGUCCGUGAAGGCCGGGCUCCAGUUCCCUGUCGGCCGCAUCGGGCGCUACCUCAAGAAGGGCCGCUACGCCCAGCGCGUCGGCACCGGUGCCCCCGUCUACCUCGCCGCCGUCCUCGAGUACCUCGCCGCCGAGCUGCUGGAGCUCGCCGGGAACGCCGCGAAGGACAACAAGAAGAGCCGCAUCAUCCCCCGCCACCUGCUGCUCGCCGUCAGGAACGACGAGGAGCUCGGCAAGCUGCUGGCCGGCGUCACCAUCGCGCACGGCGGCGUGAUCCCCAAUAUCAACCCGGUGCUUCUCCCCAAGAAGACGGCGGAGAAGGAGGGCAAGGCGCCCAAGUCCCCCAAGAAGGCCGCCAAGUCGCCCAAGAAGGCCGCCACCCCGAAGAAGGCUUAA
rnacentral:rRNA from 1 species